CGAUUUCCAUUGGCUCCCUAUUAGUUACUUUUGAAAAAUCCUAUUCCCAUUUCGCAAACUUCAACCAAAUACCUACUCGCGCAGCAUAUUGCACAUUAGUUUGCUGCGCUGUUCCCUGAGGUCUUCUAUCCGAUGUCUGGCAGAGAACUUGGGCAACUCGUUUUGGACCUUGCAACACGGUCGAAAGCACGCAGUAGAACUAUCGCAUCCGCCGCUGCUUAGGGGACCAUUUUGCAGCAUUACACAACUCUAGAGGGUGCAAUUAUUUCAACCGUCUUGUCUACUGAAUUGGUUCUUCGUGCUGCCGGGUGAGUGCACUUUUAUCUGCAGCAACUUUUUUCCUCCCGCCUGGCAGCCGGAAGGCAUCUCGGUGUGCUGACCGGAAAACGUACGAGGAAAUCACAUGUCAGGUCAUUUUAGUCGCAAUAACGAUAACAGAGAGCCAAUAGGGAGCAGUGUGCGGAAAUCUGUUCAAUCGAUGGCAUUGUUCACGUUUAAUUGACUUGGGGCGAUUAAGUAAGUUUUUUUUUUAAUUCUCAACUUAUGGCUACAGACUGUUCGAAUAAUUAGCAAGAUUAGUCGGUUUGAUAUCGAUCUGCAAAAUACAGGUUGUUCGUCAUCAUCUAUAACACUGCCGCCGCUAACAUGAGCGCUAAUUACAACGAAAUUACCUCUGUAAUCCCACCGAAUGCAAAAUACGAUUCGUAUGCAAACUAAUCCAAUCAGAUUAUGAAUAAACAUUAUC